AUUGAACGCUGGCGGAAUGCUUUACACAUGCAAGUCGAACGGCAGCACGGGGGCAACCCUGGUGGCGAGUGGCGAACGGGUGAGUAAUAUAUCGGAACGUGCCCAGUCAUGGGGGAUAACGUAGCGAAAGUUACGCUAAUACCGCAUACGAUCUACGGAUGAAAGCGGGGGAUCGCAAGACCUCGCGCGAUUGGAGCGGCCGAUAUCAGAUUAGGUAGUUGGUGGGGUAAAGGCUCACCAAGCCAACGAUCUGUAGCUGGUCUGAGAGGACGACCAGCCACACUGGGACUGAGACACGGCCCAGACUCCUACGGGAGGCAGCAGUGGGGAAUUUUGGACAAUGGGCGCAAGCCUGAUCCAGCCAUUCCGCGUGCAGGACGAAGGCCUUCGGGUUGUAAACUGCUUUUGUACGGAACGAAAAAGCCUUGGCUAAUACCCAGGGUCCAUGACGGUACCGUAAGAAUAAGCACCGGCUAACUACGUGCCAGCAGCCGCAGUAA
rnacentral:rRNA from 1 species